rnacentral:rRNA from 1 species
UACGUAGGGGGCAAGCGUUGUCCGGAAUCAUUGGGCGUAAAGCGCGUGUAGGCGGCUCAGUAAGUCCGCUCUGAAAGCCCGAGGCUCAACCCCGGGAGGCGGGUGGAUACUGCUGAGCUUGAGUCCGGAAGAGGCGAGUGGAAUUCCCGGUGUAGCGGUGAAAUGCGCAGAUAUCGGGAGGAACACCAAUGGCGAAGGCAGCUCGCUGGGACGUGACUGACGCUGAGACGCGAAAGCGUGGGGAGCGAACAGG